UACGUAGGGUGCAAGCGUUAAUCGGAAUUACUGGGCGUAAAGCGUGCGCAGGCGGUUUGGUAAGACAGAUGUGAAAUCCCCCGGGCUUAACCUGGGAAUGGCAUUUGUGACUGCCCGGCUAGAGUGUGUCAGAGGGAGGUGGAAUUCCACGUGUAGCAGUGAAAUGCGUAGAUAUGUGGAGGAAUACCGAUGGCGAAGGCAGCCUCCUGGGAUAACACUGGACGCUCAUGCACGAAAGCGUGGGGAGC
rnacentral:rRNA from 1 species